rnacentral:rRNA from 1 species
AUCCACCCGCACGUAUAGAUGGACAAGAAUAGGCUUCGGCUUAGCGUCUUAGCAGGCGAUUCUUCCACGGCGCUCGAAGCGUGUCGUGGUAUUUCGCGUAUUGUAAUUUCAACACGAGCGGGGUCAAAUCCUUUGCAGACGACUUAGCUGUGCGAAACGGUCCUGUAAGCAGUAGAGUAGCCUUGUUGUUACGAUCUGCUGAGGGUAAGCCGUCCUUCGCCUCGAUUU